rnacentral:lncRNA from 1 species
GGCGUGAAAGAUUGCAGAACUAUUGAAGAGCCUCCAAUGGGUUUUCUUGCUGUCUUAAUUUAGCACAGUUUUUACUGAAAUUUUCUAGUCAUUUUUUCUGCAGUAAUGAUAUUUAAGUGUCUAUUAAAUAUUAACUGCUAGUUUGGGAAUUUCCUCACAAAGGGAAUUCAAGGGAAUUGUAAAAUACCUAAUAAAUAAAUCUGUAGAUCUCAAAGUUCUUUUACAAAGGGAAUUGGAAUAAAUAUUAUCUUAUUCCAGUGGUAAUGCUGGGGACACAGAGAGAGUAUUUCCUAUGCUUAAAAAGAAACUGAAGGACCUUGUUAAAUUUCAAUCAUUAGGUUCAAAAGAAUCCUUUAUAAGAAGAGUCUUGGGGUGGUCUACCCUCAUUUGCAUAUGUGUGUAUGUAUAUGUGUACUUGCUCACCCCUAAUCAGAUAUGUAGGGUAUUUUCAGAAUAAAAGGUGCCCUUUGAACUCCCCAUAUCUUCUGUGUAAAAAAAAAAAAAAAGGUAAAUUUUUGAUCUAUUUAUUAAAAGUGCUAAGAUAUAUUCCACAUCAGAAAAAAAGUAGAUAGACUCAUAGAAUACCAGGUUGGAAGGGACCUAUGUAAAUAUCUUUUUUUUUUUUUUUUUGGUUUACCUCUAAACAUUUUCUUACAAUAUAAUUUCCAUAUUUUUUAUAAAGUAAGGCAGGUAUUAUCUUCAUUUUAGAGAUGUGGAAAAAGAGGUUUACUGUGGGUCUUGCAAUAAACCGGUGAUAGAGUUGGAAGCAGAACUUUGAUAUUUUGCCUUCCAGACAUUAAGUUUAUUGAGUCAUAUGUGUAUACUUUGUGGCAGAGAAAUUUUUAAAAGCUGUUUCAUUUUUUUUAACUUAGGACCCACAAAAGUGACAGAAGCUGAGGGAAGUAAAUCCCAUUCUUUAUGGAAUGCCACAUGAAAGCCCUUCACGGGUUUUGUUUUGGUUUUGUUUACAAGUACAGUGCUCUAAUGGAAAAAAAUGUUAUGCUUUUAAAAGCAGGCUUAUAGUAAAAAUGGAUAUGAAAAAAACCCCGUAGCAUGGAAAUUGUGUAAGAAAAAUGUAUGUAAUUUUUUGGCAGUAAAAUUGCCAGCACCUUGUGUUACCUACAUAAUGUAGAUGUGAAUUUCGCCAAUUAAAAUCAAUGGAUCUUUUUAACUUGAAGGAACACCUCUCAUAUUCCCUACCCUCAAAGCUUCUUCCUCUAGGUAUUGGCAAUUCAAAGGUUUAUCUUAGAGAUUUUUGAUUCAUAUGUAUACUUUAUAUCUCUUCAUAAUUGCAUAUAUACAUCUUCAUAAAUUGUUCCACUUACAAAAAUUUCCUUUCUCUUCUGUAUGUAACGACUUUGAUAAAUGGACAUAUUUAUUU